UUCCUGUGCUAAGGUAGCAUAAUCAUUAGCCUUAUAAUUGAAGGAUAGAAUGAACGGAUAAACGAGUAAAUAACUGUAUCACAUAUACUUAAUUAAAUUUUCAUUUAAGUCAAAAGACUAAUUAAACAUAAGAUGACGACAAGACCCUGACAAACUUAACAAUGUUUAGCUGGGGCAGCUAAUAAAUAAAUCCUUAAUAUAAUAUACAAAAUAAUCCUAGUAUAAGAAUAAUAAAGUUACUGCAGGGAUAACAGCAUUACAUAAUUUUAAAGCUCACAUUAAAAAUUAUAACUAUGACCUCGAUGUUGAAUUAAUCAAAACUAUAUGAAGCAACCAUCAUAAAAGUAAGUCUGUUCGACUUUUAAAAGAUUACAUGAUUUGAGUUCAGACCGGCGCAAGCCAGGUCGGGUUCUAUCUCUUUUAAUUAUACACUAGUACGAAAGGACCUUGUAUACUUGUUAAACAUCCAUAUAGCAAAAAAAAUGCACUAAACUUAGAAUUUAUCAAUAACCUAAUCACAUCAGCAAUAAAUAUAAUAAUAGCUAUAAUCUCCUUAUUAUUAGGAGUAGCUUUCUACACCCUCCUCGAACGUAAAAUCUUAAGAUAUAUACAAAUACGAAAAGGCCCAAAUAAAGUAAGCAUUGUUGGCUUAUUACAACCAAUAAGAGAUGCACUAAAGUUAAUAACUAAAAUAAUAACAAUCACUGAAACCUUAAACAAAAUCAUAAUUAAUAUGUCACCUACACUAACAAUAUUAUUAAGAUUAUUAAUAUUACCUCUCUUAACACUAUCUCCAAAUAGCAUCAUUGACAGCCAAUUCAACAUAUUAAUCUUCAUAAUUCUGUCUAGAAUAACAGUAUAUGUAAUACUAUUAAUUGGAUGAUCAU
rnacentral:rRNA from 1 species